GCCCACAGGGUCACAGGGUCUGAUUCUCACUUAGUCAAACACACAAAAAAACAGCAUCAAAAGCUCGUAACAGAGACAAGGGUUGGAGGUUAAAAGAGCUGUCUGCCUGUUUCACAGAAAUCCAAAAUGAGUUGUGCAAUUGCAAACACAUUAAAGUGUGAGUCAGUCCAGCAUUUGGAGGGAAAACAAAUCCCAUGGUGGACAGAUACAGAGCAUCUUGUUAAAUGCUCUUUGCCUUAACACGUUUGUGGAAAAUUCAUCCUGAUGGAAGCUCAGCUGCUAAAGACUUGCUUUCUUCACUGGAAAAGUGUAGAAUUUCCCAUGCCAUGAGAUUCCUAAUGAAGAUCACAAAUCAGACAAUUCCUUUACUGAGACAGCUGCUGGAGACUGGGUAAAUCCUCUGUUGUCAGAGCUCUGCAUUCCUGGGUUACUAGCUGUCUACCAGAAUCUUGCUCUU